AAAAACUGCUGAAAGAUAACAAGAAAGAGAAAUUCAGAUUUGUGAAUCCACAUAAAAUCCCAUAUAUGGCAACCAGUGCACAUGACAAAAAAAGGUAAGUUUGAAAGGCUAAACCAAAAGGCAAGUCAUUUGGCAGGCAGGCUAAGUGGUGCAUCUGUAGAUCAACUUGUAUUGGUGCCAUGUAAUAUCGGUUUCCAUUGGAUUCUCACUGUUAUUGACCCUUACAAUGAAGUUAUUUAUUUGUUGGAUUCUCUAAGGCACCGCAUUCAU